CCUACGGGGGGCAGCAGUGAGGAAUAUUGGUCAAUGGGCGCGAGCCUGAACCAGCCAAGUAGCGUGAAGGAUGACGGUUCUAUGGGUUGUAAACUUCUUUUAUAAAGGAAUAAAGUGAGGGACGUGUCCCGUUUUGUAUGUACCUUAUGAAUAAGGAUCGGCUAACUCCGUGCCAGCAGCCGCGGUAAUACGGAGGAUCCGAGCGUUAUCCGGAUUUAUUGGGUUUAAAGGGCGCGUAGGUGGGUUGUUAAGUCAGUGGUGAAAGUUUGGGGCUCAACCAUAGAAUUGCAGUUGAUACUGGCAGCCUUGAGUACGGUUGAGGUAGGCGGAAGGCGUGGUGUAGCGGUGAAAUGCUUAGAUAUCACGAAGAACUCCGAUUGCGAAGGCAGCCUACUAAGCUAUCACUGACAUUGAUGCACGAAAGUGUGGGGAUCAAACAGGAUUAGAUACCCGUGUAGUC
rnacentral:rRNA from 1 species